rnacentral:rRNA from 1 species
AACAAACGCUGGCGGCAGGCUUAACACAUGCAAGUCGAGCGCCCCGCAAGGGGAGCGGCAGACGGGUGAGUAACGCGUGGGAAUCUACCCAUCUCUACGGAAUAACGCAUGGAAACGUGUGCUAAUACCGUAUACGUCCUUCGGGAGAAAGAUUCAUCGGAGAUGGAUGAGCCCGCGUUGGAUUAGCUAGUUGGUGGGGUAAAGGCCUACCAAGGCGACGAUCCAUAGCUGGUCUGAGAGGAUGAUCAGCCACACUGGGACUGAGACACGGCCCAGACUCCUACGGGAGGCAGCAGUGGGGAAUAUUGGACAAUGGGCGCAAGCCUGAUCAGCCUUGCCGCGUGAGUGAUGAAGGCCCUAGGGUUGUAAAGCUCUUUCACCGGUGAAGAUAAUGACGGUAACCGGAGAAGAAGCCCCGGCUAACUUCGUGCCAGCCGCCGCAGUAAGAC